UUCUUCAGAAGUUUCUACUCUCAGUACAAUCAGUUAAAUUAAAUCAUAGAAUCUGAAACUGAAGUUUUGUGACACAGUGCUCCAAUCCUGGCUUUGGUUUGCCUCAGCACCAUGCAACACCCUUACCUUAUCUUUUGCAGUGGCACCAAUCACAGAAAAAUGUGGGAUUAAUUUGAUCAGUAUACCAUCCCCAUAAAUCUUCUUAAGAUGCUUUUUUCAUUGAAGAACAUAUUUCAUUUAUAAGUGUUGUUUCAAUAAACCAAGUAAUCUGAGAUAUCUUUGCUCAAUGUAUUUCGAAAACUGAAAGUACCUGUUAGGUCAUGUUGGGUUUUGCCUUUUUUUUUCUUUUUUAUCAUUAUUCUUAGGAUGAGAAAAAGGCAUUUUUCAAACACUUAUCUGCAUCUUUCAUCUUCUCAUUUAAAUUCUUCAACCCAAAUUCAAUAAUCAUCCAUCAGAAUUUCAACACCUUGUAGUCCCACAGUGGUCUGUUCAAUUACUUUUAGAAAUAUCCUGGGAAAGAACUAAUGCCAAAUGGUACACUCUAAAGUUUGUAACAUUUAAAUGCUGUAUUUGAAGUAUAAAAUUUAGAACUUGCCUCAUUUACAUUUGCCUGCCAAAAUAUAUAUCCUGCAUCUAGUCCCAUGAUGAUUUUUUGCUUUAUGUGAGCUUUAAUUAUAAAUUCCAGGGAAAACUCCUAUGUAAGUUACACUCCCUGCAAGGGUCAUGAUAUAUCAAAUGUAUCAACCAUUUAUGUGAAGUCGAUGCACUGCGCUGCUCAUGUGUGGAAGGCAAGUUUUCUAUGCAACAAGGGCCAAACCACUUUCCUAUUCUGUCCUUGACCAUCACUCUUUUAUUUUCUUUUUUCUCAGUUUUGGACAACCAACUCUACCAUCCCAUCCUUUGCACACUGAAAUUCUCUAGGACAUUCAGCAACUAAUCUCUAACAAACUUUAAAUUUCAGAGUGAAACUUCCUAUUCAUGCAAAGUGGGUUUUACUCACAGUCAGGAUUUAGGGCACCAGAGGGUAACCAACAUUACACAUCCAUUUGGUACGUCAGCCAGCCUUGGGCAGGGUGCAUCACACAGAGCAUACAUCUGGAAAUGUUGUGGCCAUAGGCCAAAAAGCAAACCUUGAACUCAACAACUCCCUCAAAAGAACUCAUUCUCCUUGUCACUCAGAACAGCCCACUUUCAUUUGAGG
rnacentral:lncRNA from 1 species